rnacentral:lncRNA from 1 species
CAGCUAAGGUAUGAAGGUGUCUGGCUCACACCUCCGGCAACCAAAGCGUCUCCUUCGUCAGCCACUUGCCGUGCAAUGUCACAAGCAGCUUCGUUGACCUUCUGCCCCUAAAGUGGCUUGUCUUCGCUUGCAUAGAAAGUGAAGGUCUGCAUGACGUUAGAUCCAGCUCUGAGGAACUCCCGAUGAAGCUGUCGAACUGAGAGAGCACAAGCAAAGCCAUGAUAUCACUCAUUCGUCCACCAACCUGCAAAGCCAUGAUGUCAUUCAUCCGUCCACCAAACUGCAACACUUUUCUGAGACUUAGGGGUUAACAAAUACCAAAUGGCUGGUCCAGCUGCUUGUCAUUAGCUUGUCUGGGCCUAUGGAGGGGGGAAUCUCCGUCUCCUGGAACCUUCACCAAAGCUGUCAUGACUAGAUAGCUGGGUGAUUAGAGAGGAGAGGGCUCAUGGUGCUGCAUCCCCUCCACCCGCCAAGCUCCCUGUGUUCUUGGUUUAGUUUGCUCAUCUUGGAAGGUACUAGCAGGAGGGGAACAAUCUGUUGUCUUGUCCUUGGAAAAUGUCAUGAUCCACCCAAGGAUAUCUGACCAAAGCACCGUGUGGGUGGGCUCUGCAUAAGACGCUCUCUAACGGGAAGAGAAGCCAUUGGGCUGCAAGCUGAAGGAGUCCAGGUUCUCACUGGGUAGAGGUGAGGAAGAGCAGUCCCUGCAGUCCAAACCGCUUUGGCCAACACAAAGUGGCAUCAGGUUUGGCACUGGGGAACAUGACAAGAAUCUACAUGGGACAUUGAAGAGAUGUUGGAAAGGUGGUAGGCAAUACAGUUGAAAAGAGGGCCUUAGAGCAGAGGACUUAGAGCGGCCUACUAGCCUGGUACCCACAGUUGGGGCUCUGGGUCUUAGGUGUGAGCUGGGAUUGACUCAGUGGCUUUUUGCUUGGUUUUUAAUUUAAUUUAAUUUUUAUUUUUUUGCUUAUUCACUUUACAUCCUGCUCACUGCCCCCCCCCCCAGUCACCCCUCCCAACUCUUCCGUAGCUCCCUCCCCUAACCUUGUGCUUUCUGAAAGGCUUCUGUUUUCUUCUUCUUUUGAGAAAGACUCUCGUGGCAGUUUGACUGAGAAUGCUCCCCCCCCCCCAAACACACACACACAAACACACAAUCUCAUGUUUGAAUACUUGGUUUCCAGUCAGUGGAACUAUUUAGGAAGGAUUGAGAAGUGUGGCUCUGUUGGAGGAAGUGUAUCACUGAGGGCCGGUUUUGAGAUUUAAAAGGACUCUCCCCAUGUUGGGAAUUCACUUUGCCUUCUUCUUGUGAUAUGUGAGCCCCAGCUGCUACUCCAGCUUCUGCCGCUGCUCCCACUAUAAGCCCCUGAAUGAAUGGCAAAAGCAAAC